rnacentral:lncRNA from 1 species
UCUCAUUCCUCUAUACUGGGGCAUUGAUCCUUCACAGGACCAAGGGCCUCUCCUCCGAUUGAUGCCUGACAAGGUCAUUCUCUGCUAUAUAGGUGGCUGAAGCCAUGAUUCCCUCCAUGUUUACUCUCCGGUUGGUGGUUUAGUCCCUGGGAGCUCUGGGGGGAGGUCUGGUUGUUUGAUAUUGUUGUUCUUCCUAUGGGUUUAUCACAUUGGAGUUAUUCAGUAUAGAAAUAUGAUUCAUAGAUAUUUUCAAAACACAGCACACAGAGGUUCCCAACUUGAUCACUAGAUUUGAAAACAUCUAAAAGUGUCUCUAUCUACUGUGUUUAUAAAUUAAAAUUUGCCAACAAUUUGUUUU